CCGGACACAAGGGCUACACUAAUCUUUGGGCUGGAGUAGCCUGUGGCUUUUAAGGCUUCGUGUCUCAUCGCGUUAAACGAUCGCAGAACGAUUUAUUUCUCUUUUUCACCUCGAUCUUUGGCCUCGUGUGAUUUACCAAAACCAACAUGUGAAGUUACAACGCUGACGAAGGAGUUUCAUCAGUAGAGUGUGUCCUGGAAAACGUGUGCUCGGAAACAUGCAGAAUACAGUAUUUACAGAGCCGACCUUGAGGCACCCACUGAUGGAUAAUCUGUUUACCUAAAAACAGCCCACCACAAUCCAUGUUUACCAGCUGUGAAAGUGCAGGCCAAAAAUCUUCCUUCACCUGUGGGCCUCUACCCACAUGUAGAUAAGCAUUUCAGGAGAAACCUGCCUGUGAUCUGCUAAGAUGCACAGAUUCAACUCUGGCCCAUUGUCAUCCCAACACCUCAUCUGCCAUCAGUUUCGUUUAGUGUCGGUCUAUUGCAAAAGUUCUUAUAAACUUUAAAUGAGACUUUGUGUUAAGCAGGGGUUUCCAAACUUUUCAUUCCACAACAUAUUAAGCCCAGGAUACACAGCAGGAUUUUUGCAAUCCAAUAAGACCUUAUCACACUGUGUGACAAGGAUUGUUUAAACUUCAGCAGUAGACUGUCGAUGAAGACACCUAUUGCAUCUGAAGCUGCGACAUC